rnacentral:lncRNA from 1 species
AAUAUAUAAAUAAUAAUUAAAGAGAGAAUUGGUGAGAUGUGGACAACUAGCACUCCACACAUGUUCUCUCUCUCCUCUAAUGGUCAUAGGAAACGAAAAAAAGAAAAAAAAAGAAAAAUAUAAGUGGUACCUCUCUUCUAAAGGCACGGGGACUGAUAAACUCUCUCUCUCUCUCUCGGUAACACGAAAAAGAAAAAAGAAAAAAGAUGAAAAUAAAAAGAAAGAUAAAACGAAACAAAAGAAGAAAAGAGAAGAGGAUCUUUUCCUCUUCUUGGAGGACAAUUCAUUUCCUUCCACCCCUUUUCCACUUCAUCACAUCUGCCACCCACGAAAAC